AUGGGUCGUCCCGAUUCCGAAGCACCUACGUCGAGCGUGGCCGCGGGGCUGGCUGCUGCCCUCGGAGGCGGGGAAGGCGCGGCGGCGCCAGCCGGGGCUGACUCGGCUUUCGAAACCAACGUGGUGAUCAUCCUGGCCGCACUCUUCUUCGCGCUGCUCUUCGCCAUCGGGCUCCACUCGCUGGCGCGGUGCGCGCUCCGGUACGUGCGGCGUGGUGCUGCGGCCGCUGUUGCUGCCGGCGAGGGCAGGGCGUCGGCGCGGGUGGCCUGCAGCAGCGGCGGCAUCAAGCGGCGCGUCCUGAGGAGCCUCCCCGUGGAGGUGUACGGCUCCGGGGAGGACAUCGACGACGUGUGCGCCAUAUGCCUCAGCGAGUUCGUGGACGGCGAGAAGGUGCGCGUGCUGCCGCUGUGCGGGCACGGCUUCCACGUCCGCUGCGUCGACGCCUGGCUGGUGUCCCACGGCUCCUGUCCCACGUGUCGGCGGCCGGUGGUCGAGGGCGCGCCCGCGAAGAGUGAGACGGACGCGGUCAUCACCGUGGUCAUCUCGUGA
rnacentral:rRNA from 1 species